AUAAUUACACUCCCCAGUCAGGCGAAGAAGGCUCCUGUUGCAUCAGAGAAAUCUCGAGGAAAGAAAACAGAAAGAUGCAUACUUGAGAUAAGGUGCUGUAGCCUAUGAAGAGUCUGAACUCACAAAGAACUAUCUUCUACAAUUGUGGCUGAAAUUAGAUAUGGACCGAAGAGCUGUGACAAAGGACGUCAGAGUAGUUUGCCACAGUCCUGUUAUCUAGAUAUUCUAAAAACUAGAUAUUCUUUAAAAAACUUUUAAACAUUAAAACAUACUUUCUUAAAAAAUAACCCCUUCCCCUUUUUUUUUUUUGCUUGUUUUUGACUAAGCCAAGGGGGCAGUAGGAUGCUGUCUUCUCUGCCUAAAGAUGAUACCACUGACCUGCCAUCAGUGAGGGUAUGCAUUUUAGUUUGUUUUCUAUGACAUGAUGCUGUUUUGUGUUGACUCAUUCAAACUCCUUAGCAAGGCAUGUAAAGACUUCCAGUCUUGACCCAAUAUUCCUUCCCAUUCUUAUUUCCUACCAGUUUAGCCAAAAUGAGGUCCUUAUUGCUCUUUCAACAACCUUGUCAUAAUAGUUGUGCAUAUUAAACAUACUUCUUGUGCCUACUUCAAAUAUCAUUUCUUCCAUGAAGCUUUUUUUCAACUCAGCCAAGCAGAGUUAAUCACACACAAAUGGAAAGAGUCAGAUGUCCUGGGUGCCAAAUCCCACCUCCAACACUGGGCUGAGCUGUACGACUGAUAUCGUUUGGCUCUGUGUCCCCACCUAAAUCUCAGCUCAAUUUGUAAUCCCCGCUUUUCAAGGGAGGGACCUAUAAUCCCUGCGUGUUGAGGGAGGGAGGUGACUCAAUCAUGGGGGCAGUUUCCCCCAUACUGUUCUUGUGAUAGUGAGUUCUCACGAGAUCCGAUGGUUUUAUAAGUGUUUGGAAGUUCUUCCUUUGCUGUUCUCUCUCCUGCUGCCUUGUGAAGAAGGUGCUUGCUUCCCCCUCACCUUCCACCAUGAUUGUAAGUUUCCCGAGGCUUCCCCAGCCAUGUGGAAUUGUAAGUCAAUU
rnacentral:lncRNA from 10 species